UACGGAGGAUCCGAGCGUUAUCCGGAUUUAUUGGGUUUAAAGGGAGCGUAGGCGGGUUGUUAAGUCAGUUGCGAAAGUUUGCGGCUCAACCGUAAAAUUGCAGUUGAUACUGGCAUCCUUGAGUACAGUAGAGGUAGGCGGAAUUCGUGGUGUAGCGGUGAAAUGCUUAGAUAUCACGAAGAACUCCGAUUGCGAAGGCAGCCUGCUGGACUGUAACUGACGCUGAUGCUCGAAAGUGUGGGUAUCAAACAGG
rnacentral:rRNA from 1 species